GAUUUAAAUUUUAUGAUCCUCAAUUACUUUCUCGUAUAAUCAUGUAAUAUUUAUUUUAAGUAUAAACAUAAUUUAAAUAUCUUUCGAGCGAUAUAAUAGUCGCACAUAGGAGUCAACAAUCAUUCACUUAUUUUCAAUAAUAUACAAUGUACGAUAUAUAUAUAUAUAUUACCAAAUAAUCUUUAUUCCAUUCAAAUAUAACUAUUAUAAAAAAAAAAUAUUAUAGAUAAAAAUUCUAAUAUUCCCGCGACGUAUAACAUCAAAACUGUGUUCUCAAUACAUCACAUAGAGGUCACGUACAUCUUAUUCCUAACCUAUAUAUUUAUUCAACUAGAACACACAAGGAAGUAGAUCCUCGAACACUUCGUUUUUUCCUUACUCGAUUCCCUUAUCGUCGAAUCUAUGGAAUGUUUCAACGACCAUACGAAUACAAUGAAACAGAAAGAUCGACUGAGGACAAACAGGAUCGUUCCGGUUAAACGUCGUGAGGACGUGAAGGAAACCAAUUUCAGAGAAAAGAUACGUCGUCAUAGGAUGAAACAUUUUAUCGUUUAUCGUUAUUGUUAACAAAAGCUGCUUGUUACGCGUAAAACGAUAUUGCGUGCAUUCCAAAAUGACAUCAAAGUGUCAAAGUGAUGGAUGUAGGAGAAAGGCAAAGUUGAAGAAAGAAAAAAGAAAAUAAUUGAGACGCGACGUUUUAAUCUGCGCAUAUUUCGACGGCAAGGUGUCAACGAUGUUAUUAACCCUGAUCCCUGAGAGAAUGUAAUAGGCUCGAAAUAAAUAACGAUGAGAUCAUAAAA